GAUUUUUUUGGGAUGCUGUUGGCAAGUGGAGGAGUGUCUCCUUUUGAAGGAUAGCCCUCUACAGACAACACUAAGCUGAAGACAACUUUAUCAUCAGUCAUCAGGGUUGACUCUGCAAAACCUUACUCAUGAGGAAUUCUUAUGCAGAUGCACCAUCCCACUGAAAUAAACUGAAUAAUUCAUCAGGGUGCAAAGAUGGUGAAUUACAGGAGAGUUUUAUAAUUACUACUGAGAGCAAACCACAUUCUACAGGAGGAUCCCUCUCAAACCACUAGAAGUCUAUACAUGAAAAGUCAAUGAGGUGAGGGUGGCCAUACAUCUCUUGUGGAAUCACACACCUAGCCAAGGAGUCUCCAGGUCUCUGAUAAUGCUGCUGUGCAGGACAUUCACCUAUUCUUUCUCUAAAUGCAGCAAACCUGGAAAUGAGGCAAUGCAACCAUUCAGAGGACAUCCUCCACCAUGACCCUCAAGGUCCAUCUUCAGCAUACUCAAGAGCCCUGAGAGAUGCUUCACCUACUUAUUUCUAAGUCUGGGGGUGCAAGGCAGGAGCAGGUAGGCAGGACAUAUCUCUCAGCAGCUUUCUCAAACACAUCAUGGGAGAGGUACAAACACAGAGAAACAUGAUGUCAUAUCUCAAAUUGGGCCAGCACAACUGGUGGUCAGGCACUCUUUACUCUCAGCAAAAACUCUGUGCAUACUGGACAGGUUUCACCAACACUAUGGUUUCAUGGAUGCCUCCUGGAUUAUGUGCCACCCAUAUUUUAACUAACAAAUGCAUAAAUUCAUGCCCCUGCUAGCUAAUAAAAUCAUAGGAUUUGUAAGGAUCUCCAGGAUUAUCUAGUCCAACCUCCUUCAGGAAGUGCUUUUCCAGAACCACCCCAGACAGCAUAUUUCUGAAAGCCAUCUGUGAAAGAGAUUCCAAAACUUUCCUAUGUGGCUUGUUCAUUGUCCUGCAAGGAAAUUUGUUCUGAGAUUUAAUGAAAAUCUUUAUUGUUACUGUUUAAUCACAUUGCCUCAUGUCCUGCCUACUGUGAUGGAGGAGGAAGGAGAUGGUCUCUUUUUUUUAUGGUAGUCUUUCAGUUAUUUGAAAACGGCUAUCAUAUGGUCCCUUAAUUUCCUCCGCUCCAAACCAAGCAUAUCUAGUUCUUUCAAACUUCCCUUGUUCAGCUUUUAUUCCAACCCCUUUUAAUAUUUUUCUUACAUGUCUCUCAAUUGUCUCCAGUUUCUCUACAUAGUUCUUAGAAUGUAGAGUCCAUAAUUGCCAACAAUACUUCUACUGAGGCCUGGUAUCUAUAAGAGAGACUGCCAGAGUCUUGGUAGAGCUACCUGACAGCUCAUCAGUAACUGGUACCCCACACUGGAUUCCAGUUCACUGGUCCAACGUGCUUUUAGAUUUGCCUUUCCUUUUUGCCUUGCAUAUUGUGUCACCGUCUACCCUGGUGAGUGUAAGUGAUUACAAGUGCACUGUUGUCAUGUGAACUUCUUUCCUUGGCCUGAGUGGGCCAUAGCAUUGUUCCUUUCCUUAGCUUCUUUAACACACUUUCUGGACAUAAGCUUAUCCCUUUCUCUUGACCCAGUUCUUCCUAUAUGGCUCUGAGAAUCUGUUUGCAUGUCUGCUUACCAAUACACAAGUUUUGUCCUACAUUUAAUGAUCUCCCACUCUCCAAAAUAUGUAGAGAUAUUUGGAGAGAUCUGGUUGUUGUAGACCUAAGCCAACCCAUUAGCUUGAAUGUGGUCAGAAUGCAGUCAUUAAAGUUAACCUCUCUCCAGAGUCUCUCAUCUGGGAUGGACAUGCUACAUCCCUGGUCAGUGAACUCUACAUUCUGCAUCAACAUACAUGCAUUCUGGGAUACAGCAAUUUAAGAGUAAUGACUUCAUUACAGCACCCAGAAUUUCUAAAUUGCAUGUAGAUAAGGCACAACAGAUCAUUGCAUUUAAUUUCCCCUUUGGCUUUGAGGGAGAUUCCUGUGUAUACUAGCCUUUUCUUUCAUCCCCUUUGCCAGGCAAUGUAUUUCCACCACAGGAGAAGAUUGUUUUUGCUAGAACACUCUUUCAUGGAAUGUGGGAAAAUAAAGGUAUUUCCACAAUGCAUCUGGAAAGCUCCUUUUUCCCUCCAUCCACCCAUACCUUCCCUGAAGCAACAUUCAGCCCUGUCUUUUCUCAAUGGAAAGCCGUGGCUUUUAUAAAGAAAAAUAUUCAGGAAAGGUUUUAAUCUAGACAUUUAAACUUGUCUCUGCUAAAUAUUAAUUGCUUACAUUAGUUUGUUAGAGGACAGAAGGUAUUGGAAAUGUAUGAAAUGUAGUUAUAUUCAUGUUAUAAACAUCAUUUUAAUUGCAUAGUAUAUUACAACUUCAAAACUGAUGCUUUUAUGCAGACAGAAUCAGCUGUAAAUUGCAUGCUCUAUCUCUCUCUCUCUCUCUCUCUCUCACACACACACCCCUAUAAAGUUUACAAUAUAAUAUAUUAUGUUGCUGGAAAGGUAGCAUCAUUUUCUAAAUGUUCGUAUUACCUGACAUUUCUAUGCGUUUUAUUCUCAGUGGACCCAGUGGCUGAUAAAAACAACCACCCUAUAUACAAAUUCCUUAAAUGGAAAUCUAAACCUAUAGCUAAGUGCAUAGCAACAUAGUGAAUUUAAACCCAAUCUUACAAAAAUGCCUAGAGCAUGUACAGGCAGUGUUGGGGGAAUUAACUGAAAACAAAAGGAAUAGAGUGAUUUCCUUGUGUUCAUUUUCAGUGUUGUAUUUUAAUCAAAUAUACAGAGCCUCAACUGGUUUAAACUGGACUGUCUUGUUGGCUAAUAUUCACCAGCUAAGGCUCUGGCCCAAGUAUUCUGACUUUUUGUGUAUCUACUCCUCAUCAAGAGAAAUGUGUGGUGCUUUACCUAUAUCAAAUAAGUAAAAGAUGAAAUGUCCUAGAAUGUCAUUGUAAUAGGGUACUCUGUCCUUUAAGAGGGAACACUCGGCCCUGUUGGAAAAGCCUAGCUACAUGGCUUUUAGAUAAGCAGGGAGUGUCUGGCUGGAAGCCUUACAUCUUUAAAAUCUCCCAGAAAAGUAAUCAGAGGGGAGAAGGAAGCAAGCUGUGAGUGAAGCAGUGGUAUAUAAGGAGAGAAAGGCCAGGCUGUUGUGUCAGGGCCAGAGCAAAAGAGGCUCCUUUCCUUGUGACAGGGACAGAGCAAAUGGAUUUGGUCUUGUUUGUUUGUUUAAAUGACUGUGCCAAGCUUGGGAGGACUGGCUGAAGAACUCCUCAGGGAAUGACCCUGCCUGCAGAAGCCAGCAGGUCAAGUCUUAUUGACAUAGUUAGAAGAAUCUCAAGAUAUUUAUGGUUUCAUGAAUGGGAACUAAUAGCAAGAUGCAAACAGAGGGGUGAAAAUGAAGAUCAAGAGGAUGGGAGUGGGUGCAAGGCAGCUUGGAGGAUGGAAUAGGAUGAAGUCACAGGGGCAUAUGGAUAUUAGAAAAGAAGAGACUUCUGCAGCUGUGAGUGGGAGUAGAUAAGAAUACGAGCUGGUAACAACAUAUUUAAUAUAUAUAUUUGUUCUUGUAAGACCUAGCUUGAAGAGAAAAGAUAAACAUGUGUGCUGAUGCUUGAACUCUUGCACUUUUGGUUUGUUAUGACUGUUGGUGGGGGCAGAAAAGCUGGAUUCUGCCCUGUUGGUGCCCUCGUCUGUUGGGCAGUGUCCUGUUGCUUCUCUGUGUAGCUCAUAUGCCUAGUUUUUCUUCAUCAGAUGUCAAGCCAAGUAACGGCUGGCUUUCCACGAGCUCAUAUUCCUAGCUGCGUGUGCCAGGUGUCUCCUGCUACUCUGCAGCUGUCUUUAGUUUCAUCUUCACUACUAUCCUGAGUCUGUGGCUACUUCAUAUAACCUGUAGCAUGCUGCAAGCUUGGCCUUUUGCCUUUUGCUUCUGCUUUUGUGUUAUUUGAAGGUCAGACCCAGAGCUGCUCACGUGUGCAUAAAGGCCUCAGGUCUUUGACUGUCUUAUUGUAUCAGGCUGCCUGACAAGCUUAGCAAUAUUUUAAAUGCUUCAAAGUUGUAUCCAUCAUUCCUCAGAUGGGUUUCCUCCAUAGAUAUCUCUCUAGUCCAUCAGCCCUGUGCUGGACUCCUAACUAGUCCCUCUGAGGGUGGAUUGUGAUGGUCCAAGAUUGCCUGGUAGCAGCCCCUUCUGUUCUGCUUGUCUGUACCAUUAGUAUCUUGACUGUGUUUAUUGCUGAAUCCACAUUUCUACUGCUUUGUGCGUACCCAAGGGAAGUAGGUGCUAUUCCUGUGUGCCAGCUGCUAUAAAUGCUAAACAAUAGCAUCUCUUGUUUCAUGGAUCUGUUAUUGAAAGUCUGCAUUUUCCCACUGACUUCUUUUAAUUUACAUCAUGAGCACCGGGUCUCAUUUUCUCUUUCUACUAUUUCUGCUUAUCAGUGUAAUUCAGAUUACAUUAAAACUGGCUCUACAACCCACUUGGAAGCAUGCUGGUUAUUGAUGUAAUAGCAUAGUUGCAAAUAUGGAUCUAGAAUAGCUAUCAACCUCCUUCUUUGUACACUGCAAGUCUCUGGAUCUACUGACACAUUACAGAUGUUCUCCUCUUGUUUGGCAGACUUAGUCUCUAAGGCUGUAUCCAGAUGAGCACGGUUGUAUGUACACAGGUAUGUGGUGCUGCAGAUGUGUCUGCAGCAUCAUAUACCACACAUUCUGUUGCUCUCCACUCUGCAAGGGAUCAGUGUGGAGGAUUUAUUUUUACCCUGGAUAUCCACAGAACCCACAAAAAAAAAGCAGAGUGGCUCAUGCAGUGGCAGCCUGCAGUGCCUAAAGCCGGAGCCUGGAUGGCUGGAGACACAGUCCACUGCUCCACAGACAGGCUCUGUGUGGCAGGAGUGAUGCGGCUGCAGCCCUGUGAGGCUCCUAGGACCCCAGGUAAGGCUUCUGGAACCUGCCCAAUGCUGGCCACAGCCUCCCCUACUGCACCUGGGGUGACCUGCCAUGUGUAGCAUGUGUGGCACAGGCAUUCCCCAGGGACAACUAGUGGCAGCAGAAGGUGCGCCACUACUAGUUGUCCCUAGGGAACCAAAUGUCCAUGCACAUCUGGAUGCAGCCUAAGAGAGUAUUUGUUUGUCUACUGUCCUAUUCAGCCUGGGGUCAUGGUCAUACAAAACACCUCUAUUGGCUAUCCCAGUGUUUUGUGCUUGUUCUUUUUUCACUUCAUUGGGGCAGGGUAGGGCAAGGUAGGAGGAAGGGGAAGCUUUAACUUUGUUUUCUCUCUGAGCACUUGCUUCUGCUGCUUGGUACAGGGUAAUUUGUCUGGAAAUCCAGCCUCCCUAGCAAUUUAAGUCCCUGUUAGCACUGAGGUGCUUCUUUGUGUAUUUGGUAAUCACACUUUUACUUGCUGUGAGCUGCCACUAUCAGUAGCAUAAUGAGUGGAGGGCGACUGGGGCACCAGCCUUUGGCACUCACUUAGAAGCUGCAGCAGGCAAGGACGCUGCCACUGUUACUGCACAGGAUGCAGCCCCUAGUUGCUAUAUCCUUGGGUGACAUAUUUCAUGUAUCCUGCUCUGCAUGGCAUGAGAGAACCAUAUGUUGUUAACAUUAAUUGGUCCUUUAUUGUGAAAACUAUUAGCAGAGGUGCUGCAAUUGUCUUUCAGCACUGCAGUCAUGGGCCUAGAGACUGGUGCAUCCUCCACAUAUUUUCCUCCAGAGGCUUUGCUCCUCCCUUCAAGUUCCUUGAGUAUUACUUUAUAAUUAGCUAUCAGAGGUUGCCAGGAAGCUUAGCCAGGUUUAGCAAACCUGACAAAGAAACAUUUGGACAUAGGGUGACCAUAUGUCCUGGUUUGGAUGGGACAUUCCC